rnacentral:rRNA from 1 species
CAGGGAAUCUUGCACAAUGGGCGAAAGCCUGAUGCAGCGACGCCGCGUGGGGGAUGAAGGCCCUAGGGUCGUAAACCCCUUUCAGCAGGGACGAAAAUGACGGUACCUGCAGAAGAAGCCCCGGCCAACUACGUGCCAGCAGCCGCGGUAAGACGUAGGGGGCGAGCGUUGUCCGGAUUUAUUGGGCGUAAAGAGCUCGUAGGCGGUUGCGUAAGUCGGAUGUGAAAACUCAGGGCUCAACCCUGAGACGCCAUCCGAUACUGCGCUGACUUGAAUCCAGUAGGGGAGUGCGGAAUUCCUGGUGUAGCGGUGAAAUGCGCAGAUAUCAGGAGGAACACCCAUGGCGAAGGCAGCACUCUGGGCUGGUAUUGACGCUGAGGAGCGAAAGCAUGGGUAGCGAACAGGAUUAGAUACCCCAGUAGUCCCUGAGCGGGCUGGCAAGGCGCAU